rnacentral:rRNA from 1 species
AGAGUUUGAUCCUGGCUCAGGAUGAACGCUGGCGGCGUGCCUAACACAUGCAAGUCGAACGGUUAAGGCGGCUUCGGCCGCGGAUAAAGUGGCGAACGGGUGAGUAACGCGUGACCGACCUUCCCCCCGCACCGGGACAACCGCGGGAAACCGCGGCUGAUACCGGGUACUCCGGGGCCUUCGCAUGAGGGCCCCGGGAAAGCUCCGGCGGCGGGGGAUGGGGUCGCGUCCCAUCAGGUAGUAGGCGGGGCAACGGCCCACCUAGCCGACGACGGGUAGCCGGGUUGAGAGACCGACCGGCCACAUUGGGACUGAGAUACGGCCCAGACUCCUACGGGAGGCAGCAGUGGGGAAUUUUGCGCAAUGGGGGCAACCCUGACGCAGCGACGCCGCGUGCGGGACGAAGUCAUUCGUGACGUAAACCGCUUUCAGCGAGGAAGAACCACUGACGGUACUCGCAGAAGAAGCCCCGGCUAACUACGUGCCAGCAGCCGCGGUAAUACGUAGGGGGCGAGCGUUAUCCGGAAUGAUUGGGCGUAAAGCGCGCGCAGGCGGCCGCUCAAGCGGGACCUCUAACCCCGGGGCUCAACCCCGGGCCGGGUCCCGAACUGGGCGGCUCGAGUGCGGUAGGGGAGAGCGGAAUUCCAAGUGUAGCGGUGAAAUGCGCAGAUAUUUGGAAGAACACCGAUGGCGAAGGCAGCUCUCUGGGCCGUCACUGACGCUGAGGCGCGAAAGCCGGGGGAGCGAACAGGAUUAGAUACCCUGGUAGUCCCGGCCGUAAACGAUGGGCGCUAGGUGUGGGGGGACAUUCCCUCCGUGCCGCAGCCAACGCAUUAAGCGCCCCGCCUGGGGAGUACGGCGGCAACGCUAAAAC